rnacentral:rRNA from 1 species
AGCUCGUAGCGGUUCUGACGUGCAAUCGAUCGUCAAUUUGGGUAUAGGGGCGAAAGACUAAUCGAACCAUCUAGUAGCUGGUUCCCUCCGAAGUUUCCCUCAGGAUAGCUGGAGCCCGAACUAUGUGUGUAGUUUUAUCAGGUAAAGCGAAUGAUUAGAGGUAUUGGGGUUGAAAUGACCUCAACCUAUUCUCAAACUUUAAAUGGGUAAGAGGUGUAGCUUGCUUAAGUGAAGUUACACGAUUGAUUUCUCGUGGAAUACAGGGGCUCUUAGUGGGCCAUUUUUGGUAAGCAGAACUGGCGAUGCGGGAUGAACCGAACGCUGGGUUAAGGUGCCCAAGUCAACGCUCAUGAGAUCCCAUGAAAGGUGUUGGUUGAUACAGACAGCAGGACGGUGGCCAUGGAAGUCGGAAUCCGCUAAGGAGUGUGUAACAACUCACCUGCCGAAUCAACUAGCCCUGAAAAUGGAUGGCGCUCAAGCGUUGCACCUAUCCCCGGCCGCCGUGUGGAGAUGGCCAGUGCUGGUGACACGGCGUGUAGGAGGGCGCAGGGCUGUGUGUUGGUAUGCUGUGCAGGCUGGUGCGUGAGCCCGGCUGAAGCUGGCCCUGGUGCAGAUCUUGGUGGUAGUAGCAAUUAUUCAAAUGAGAACUUUGAAGGCCGAAGUGGAGAAGGGUUCCACGUGAACAGCAUUUGGACGUGGGUGAGUCGGUCCUAAGAGAUGGGCGAAAGCCUGGUUAGUAAGGGUGCAGAUGUGCUGCCUCUCAGGGGGUAGUAUGUCCGGUUGGUUCUUCGGGGCCACGGUGGCACCAGCUCUCGAAAGGGUAUCGGGUUAAUAUUCCCGAACCAGACACCUGGAUGCUGCUCGUGGUGGAGCACGGCAACGUAUAUGUGUGUAUACUCGGCGACGCUUGCGAUAGCCCUGGGAAGAGUUGUCUUUUCUUCUUAACCGUACCAACCGUGUGCACAGCCCUGGAAGCAGUUUACCUUGAGAGAGGGCUGGAGGUCGGGUAAAGCGCUGCACUUAUUGCAGCGUCCAGUGCGCUGUCGAGAGC